AGGAAAUUGAAACAGAAUUUGAAAAUGGCAGAGAAGAAGUUAGAAACAAAAUUAUUAGAAAUCUAACGUUGCAUAACAUUACUUGAACGAUGAUUGAUAGAAAAUGAUGGUUUUUGUCAAAUCUCCAAAGCAAUUUGUAAGACCCUAAAAAUUAUAGAGUAAAUUUUGUUGGUGAUAUUUCCUUUAGUGGUUGUUUUCAAUUCUUGCUUAAUAAUAAAUCAAGAACGAAAUUAUUAUUGUCCCNGCCCCGUGACUGUCGACCCCUGGUUAGUGGUGGGAGGUUACUCCCUCCACCUUCCCAUUUGUUCCCUCCACCUCCCCAUUUUUUCUACAUUUUUAUUUUAAUUACAAAUAUAACCUAUUGUUUUCCUUUUUUUAACUUUUAUAGUUUUUUAUUAUUUUACUUAUUUACCAAACCCUACUUUUACUCUGAUCCCUCCCCCCACAUUUCAGAUUUGAGAUCCACCUUUUAUUCUCUCGACCUCCGUCUCAUUUUCUCCCCCUGUCCCUUUUCUUCUUCACGCGUCACACUAGUUUUUCUCUGUUUGACUCUACUUUGCACUCAGUCAUGGUGGGGUGCGGUGGUGUGGUAAGGUGUGUGGCUGUUGUUAUUGUUCGUGGUGGUGUUUCGCUGCAGUGAGUGGUGCAUAUCUUCGUCUACCAGGCUACCAAAUUCAUCACAGUUGCAGGAUUUGGUGCUAAGUGGCUCGGCAUAUUUGGGAAUGGCAUGGUGCAAUCUUUUAUUAAUACUCAAACUCUAUCACCUUCAGAUUAGCGGGAACCAAAGCUUGCUGCUAAAAUAGCUAAGCAACCUAAAAGAUUUCAUUAUGUGGAAAUUCCAGGUUCAAAGGAACCUCAAUUAUGGAAUGAUGUUUGGAAGUUCUUUGAGAAAGCUCUAUUAUAUUUUCUUUCUUCUAGUUUGGUCUCUGUCCGAUUCUAUUGAUGAGUUACUUCUGUAAUUUUGUUUGAAGUCAAUUUGAUUUGUUGAUUUUUAUUA